CUGAAAUUGUGGCAUGGUGUCUCCAAAUUCCCUAUAUUCGAGGGGGUUUGGGGGGUAACUGAGGGGACCGUGAAGUUGCUUUGGCACAGCCCUCUACAUAAAAUUGGGAAAAGGUCAACAAUGCUCAUCAAAGAAUGCAGGUGCCGCUAAUGGAGGUGAUGGGGUUGCUGUUCCCCACUUCCUCCUUGGUACUAUCUUUGAGCUUGGAGGCAUGUCUGGGGAGGGGAAAGGCUGGUGGAGCAGUGUCCAUCUUGCUAACGAGCUCUGACGAGUGCAAACAGGGAGCCCUCGAAGGGAUUCAUGAAGGUGAGUGAGAGGUUCCAAUGAGCCUUCUAGAGAGUUCACCCUGGAGUGUGGAGUGGAUGAUGCAAGACAGUGGUUGAGGGAGAGGGCCGCUGGAAGGCUGUUGCCAACAUCCACUCUGAUCUUCCCUUUGAAAGCCUUCUUGGGGACACACUCCCAGUUCUUGUCUCUACUGGCUUCACCUGGGCCCCCAGGAAGGGAGGUCCUAGAAUAUACAGGAAAAUUCAAACAAGUGGAGAACGGAGAAAGGAUGGGAAGCAGCUCCCAGGACCCGCAGCAGCUCCCCAGCCAGCACCGCCUCCCUGGCACAUUCAGGUCGGCUUUCUUGGCAGCGGGCAUAGGAAUUGGCCUCGGGCGAGUUCCCCGGGUACACGGUGCAACCUGGGCGUGGGCUGGUUUCCUUGUGAAGCUGUUGCUUCCCCUCGGGCUCACCCUCGCUGCGGCUGAGUCAUCGGCAGGCUGCAAUCUGUCCGUGAAGGAGCUCUUGCAACAUGGAGUGUGAGGCUUCCAGAAGCCCCCAAGAACCUCUCAUGGAAAUUGAUACAGCCAGAAGCAUAUUUCUCUGGGACUCGCAAGAGGACACUUGGACCUUACCAGUGACAGCUCGGAGAUGGGGAAAUGCAAGUGCGGGCCCCACCCUGGCAGUGUGUCGGCAGCUGUUCUGGAAAAUAAAAACACAAGCCGUUUACAGAUUCAGGAAGCUGAAACAUUUUAUGGGCACAGUCAUCAAAGGCAAACACCGCUGUGUUCCUUGACGACAUCUCCUGGAAGCCACUCACCUGGACAAUAGAAGUUUGCGAGGAAACUUAACAGUCUUCAAAUAUUUGAAUCACUGUCACUUGGCAGAAAGACCGGCUACAGGGAGUAAAAGUAGGGCCAGUGGCAGGAGGUGAGAGGGAGGCAAGUAUCAGCUUGGUAGAGGGAAAAAUUUUCCGACAAUCUCACCUGGCCGAUAAUGGAAUGAUAUUCCCUUGAGUAGGAGAAAGAUACUUCCUUCUAUCACUAGAAGUGUGCAAGUAGGAGCUCAAGGAUUCCCUCCCACCAGUUCAAGGAAUGAUUUCUUAAUUGAUUCACUCACUUAACUGGUACUUACUAAGCAUCUUCUAUGUGCUAGGCACAUGGAUAUACUGAUGAAAAAGACAUACAAGAUGCCUGCUUCCGUGAAGUUUACAUUCUAGUGGUGGAGACAGUCAAGAAAGAAGUGAACAAAUAGUUACAAAGAUAGUUGCAGCUAGUGAUGGGUGUCUUAAGCACAAUAAAAGAAGAGUAUGUAAAAGAAUAACUGUGUGU
rnacentral:lncRNA from 1 species